CCGAGGCGGUGUCCGAGGCGGUGCCCGAGAUGGGUCUGGAGGCCGAGGCGGUGCCCGAUGCGCAGGCCGAGGCGAUGCCCGUGUCCAGGGCCGUUCCCGAGGCGGUGUCCUUGUCCCAUGCCGUUCCCGAGGCGGUGCCCUUGUCCAAGGCCGUUCCCGAGGCGGUGUCCAAUGCCGUGACCUGGCCAUCGCCACAGUCUGCUCCUCACUGGCUCCCCGAAUGGCAGGUUCCGUUCGGGCCACUCAAAUGGUGAAUUCCUCCCUGGCCGUCUGCACAACGAGAAUGGACUGAUCCACCGUGGCCACCUGAACUGCCUGGCCCCUCGUGGUCCCCUGAACUUUCGGGUCCACCGUGGCCACCUGAACUGCCUGGUCCCUCGUGGUCCCCUGAACUUUCGGGUCCACCAUGGCCCCCUGAUCUGACCGAGCCACCUGGGCUGCCAGGGGAGCCAUCGCUGCCGGUCCCAGUUCCCCUACACGGGCCUGGCCCGCCAUCCCUCCCCCUGUUCUGCCUCCACCAGUCCACCUCCCUCCUGGUCUCUUUGUUUUGUGUUUGUUUUGUUCUGAGGAGCAUCUGGAAGCUGCUCCUUAGAGGGGGGGUAGUGUCACGGUGUCUGGUUUGUGUAUCCCUGGGUGUCCACUAGAGGUCUCACUUCCCCUUAGCGUCACCCCACCUCAGAACUACAUUUCCCUUAGUCUUGUUUGUUUCAUCACUGCUCAUUGCACUCAGCUGUCCCUGGUCAUUAAUCAUUGCACUCAGCCAAUUCCCCGUUAGUAUUGUAAUCACCUGUCUAUAAAUACCUGGUUUGUUUCUGUCUUUGUUACGGAGUCCUUGUUUAAAGUCACCCUGCUGUUUCGUGUUUCCUUGCUUUGUUUGUGUUUCUUGUUUUGGACUGAUUACCUGGAUUUUGACCGUUGCCUGGCUAGAGUUAUGAUUUCUGGAUUACCCAUUAAACA
ensembl:lncRNA